GCUUUCUCUUUGUCAAAAAAGACUUCUGUUCUGUUCGGUAUUUGCAGGGAAAAAAAAGAUAAUGUGUUUGGUAUUUUUGUUUUCGUUUUAAAUUUUUUAAAGAAAAGGAGAUGAAGAAAAAGAAGAAAAAUGGGGAAGAAAAAUGCUGCAACUAUGGGUAAUUUAGCCCGACUUUACCCUACUUUUUAAACCAUGGCAUGAGAUAGGCUAGUCUCCCAAUAUUUCCUUAACCGAAGAGGGGAAAACCCUAAUUUUGUCUCUCCCAAGGGACGAAAGGAAGGGAAAAAUGGUGUUUUACUUCAAAGCGCGGGCAGAAGCUGGUAAUUACAUCAUUUUCAUGGGUCUUGACAAGUACAAGAACGCGGAGCUCAUCAAAUAUGGCUUCAUCGAAGAUAUCUGGCUGCUGUUCAUAAAGAACCAAUCUUUUCCAUUCCUAGAACUCCAGCAAUAGUUCAGCAUGAAAUUUUAAAUAACAGAAGGCAUGUAUUAACUAAGGUACAAGAAGCUCCUAAGCUCAGUGGAUCUUACAAAGGACUUCUUCUUCAGCUAUUCAUACAAUGUUAUGUGUAGUCUUCAAAAGAAAUUGUAUAAUAACGAACCAGGUGAGGUUCUUUAUGAGACCAGGAGUUUCAAACUUUUGCUCAUUGCAAGACGAUCCCGUCACUAUGAACCUGCGAAGAGGUAAUCACUUAGGAAUAGUUAAAAAAGACGCAAGUAUUCAACUAGUAACUGGAACACGCAGCUAUAUAUGAAUGAAUUAGAUUUUAAAUUCGGUUUGAUGCACAUGAUUUUUUAAUUAUAUAUGAAUGAAUUAGAAAUUUGGUUUGAUGCACAUAGCCAAACAGAGUAUUGUUUUGUAACU